GUGCUGAGGUGGACUCUCUCAAACUCUCCCUCUCUCUCUAUCUCUCACUCAAACACUAACAUAGUACACAUACUCACAGCAUGCACUCUGCGCACCGCUCUGAUCUAUACACACUCGAACGCAGCACGCAAGCAUCGCUGUGCUACUGUCUUGGAAAAGGCAAAAGGUGCGCAUCCUAUGAAGCGCUGUUUUGUUUGUUUUUACUGUUCUCAGCAAACGAGGAAAUAUCAUCUUAUUCUGACAUAUUCUGGAGUUUGGAAGCACCUGCUCCUGUUCUGGGGUCAACAAUUUAAAGGGAGACUUCUGAGGCAUAGCGACAGAGACACCAGAGCGAGGAUGUGUGGGGUGGACGUGGACCUGGAUGAGGGGGGCUCAGGUGACGAGGAGAAGGAGCAGGAGUUCUGGGUGGGGGAGGGGGUGAAGAUGCUGCCCCCUCCCCUGGCCCACAGUGAGGGCAGUGCGUGGGGCAGCCGCCGGGGCAGGUGUGGCUGUGUGGCGUGUGGGCGGGGCUGCUGUUGUGGAACGUGGGCGUGGUCCUGGUGUGUGUCCUGGUCCUGAUGGCCGUGUUCACCCUGGUCCUGCUGCCCGCCUCGCUGCUGCUCUACGUCGGCUUCCUCUGCCACUCACGGGUCCUAGACUCCCACUCUCCUUUCUGCCGUUACCUCGACGACAACAGUUGCUCCGCCCUUAUUAUCCUGGGCUUCGUGAUGAUGUCACCGCUGGUGGUGGUCGCGGCAGCCAUCUUCUGUGGGCUGCUCCGGAGGCUGCGGCUCCUCCUGCUGUUUCAGCCAAUCACACAUGCCUGGUACCGUGGACUGGGCUUGGACUGGGGAGGCGACGUCCGUGCUUGGGUCUGAUUGGACCAACACUCUAAUAAACCAGUUGCCUAAAAGUUUAAUAGGUCAACGGUCAAGAGAGAAUCCAGUCCUGGAGAAUCACUGUGUCACCUAAUGUAUUUAGUGUCCUAUUAAACUGUAGUGAAUGUCAUACAAUCAAUCAAAUGGAUAUAACGGGAACCAGUACAAUUAUUUAAAAACAGAGCUUGACAUGUUAACAAGGCAGUGGUUAGGGGACUAUUGCUAGUCAGAGAGGAGACAGUGGAGGUAAUGGUGGGAUAUACUAGCAGCUGUUCUCUGUGAAUUUGUAUGUAUAUUUCCAUUUUUAUGUUAACAUAUAGUUGUGAACAUGAUGUAGCAGAUAAAUGAAACAGUAUUGCAUAAACUGUCACUGAAAUGUCUAGAAUGGAAGGAAAAUAUGUUUACAGACUUACUUCAUUUGACAGAUGUUGUUCAUUCUAUUGAUUUCAUUAUUUUCACCAUCUGGGUUAAAGGGCAAUUCUGCCACUUUUCAACCUCAUAUUCAUUAUCUUCAGCACCAAACCAGUAUCUAAAUCAAAUAGAAUUGUAUUGGUUGCAUACACAUAUUUAUCAGAUGUCAUUGCGCGUGUAUCAGAAAGAUCCAACAGUGCUGUAAUAGUGUUAGUGUGUCUGAAUAAUGAUGAGUGAGAAAGUUACACACACAAAUAUCAUACACCUCAAAAAUGAUAACUUCCCCUGUUAUAGUAAUUGUGAGAGGUUAGCAUGUCUUGGGGGGUAUGAUAUUUGUGAGUCUGUCACUUUCUCACUCAUCAUUAUUCAGACACACUCUCUCAGACACACACUUUAAGUAUUAAUGGUGAUAAGAGGGAGGGUUCCAGUACAGUGGGUCUGCAGUGGCAUGAUUCACUCUGCCUGGAAUAAUGUUUGAUAGUCAUCUUCAGACUCCUCAUUAAACUUCAAACUCUCCAACUUUAGAUGUACUGACAAGUACAUGCACUUAUUAAUUUUCCCCUGAUGUGGCCCAAUUAACUACGGUUUAAUGUGACCAAUUUUAACACUGAGUAGUUUAACAGACUGUUCUCUUUUUUCACACUCAGGGCUGUUACUGUAACACACACUGUUAAAAUAAAGUGCUUUGUAACGCUAAGACGAGUGGCAACUGAGCUGCCACCACCUUAAAGGAGACGAAACCUUAACUUUGCAGGAUUAUUGAAACACAUGGUUUUGAAGGUGUACUGAAGAAUUCAUCCUGAGGUGCUCUGAAACAUGACAUGUUGUGUUGUAACAUCACUUUUUUUAACACCUUGCCAGACUUACACGGAAAAGGUUGAAAAUACUAUUAUGGUGUUUCAAAUCCUGUCUAGUGCAGAAUUACAGUAGAUGCCUUUACCUAUACUGUAAAUGAGAGUCCCUCUUAUUCACUGCUCUUAUAUAUUGUGUUGACAAACUCCUCAUUUGUAAUUCCCAAAAUUAAUGUCAAAAGUGGGAGGCAAUAACAUGUGGCGUGGUAAGGAAAAGCCUAAGCAGGCUAAAUUGGCAUAGGCUAUUUAGUGUUGCAUAUAGUAUGUGGGGCUAGCAUCAAACAACAGGUAAAGCUAAAGCUUGUAGGCAAACAAGCCAGCAGUAUGAACCAAAAAGCUGGCCUUAAAAAAUGACAGCCAAUCAAAAUGAAUGAUUUUGUCACAUGAUCCAGGUUCGGAAUGAGAGAGGAGAGGAUGUUUCAUUUGAAACUGACAGCAUGUCGGGUGAAGAUGAGUACAGUGGCAAAAAUGAAAGGAAACAAGAGAAGUAAAGUUGUGGUGGAAACUAGGAAAUCCAAGCCUAGACUGAGGGUUUUGGACCAAUGUUACCUUGGAGACCAGUUUGACUUCUCAAGGAAAAUCUGGGAUGCGUUGGGGGAUAAUGUGGCGUUGGUCACAAAAAGUGGUCUUGUUUAGAUUUGUGUGUCUGCAGAGCAGUUCAUAUGCUUUGUGCCUCAAAAAGAUAUUCCAUAGGAGUGGAAUGUUUUGUGUAUGGAUCUUCGAAGCAGAGAGCCUUUCAAGGGGGUUCUCUGAUAUAGGCCAUGAAGUGUGUGCAGAUGAAAUACCUGAGGAAGUAGGUGG